AACGUAGGACGCAAGCGUUAUCCGGAGUUACUGGGCGUAAAGCGCGGGCAGGCGGUUCUGCCAGUCUGAUGUGAAAUCUCCUCGCUCAACGGGGAGCAGCCAUUGGAAACUACAGAACUGGAGUCUGACAGAGGUAGGCGGAAUUCCGGGUGGAGUGGUGAAAUGCGUAGAGAUCCGGAGGAACACCAGAGGCGAAGGCGGCCUACUGGGUCAGUACUGACGCUGAGACGCGAAAGCCAGGGGAGCGAACGGG
rnacentral:rRNA from 1 species